CCUGGUUGAUCCUGCCAGUAGUCAUAUGCUUGUCUCAAAGAUUAAGCCAUGCAUGUCUAAGUAUAAGCAUUCUUGUACUGUGAAACUGCGAACGGCUCAUUAAAUCAGUUAUAAUUUACUUGAUCGUAUUUACCUUACAUGGAUAACCGUAGGAAUUCUAGAGCUAAUACAUGAAAAAAAUCUGGACCUUUUAUUUAUAGGAGGAAAGGAUGAAUUUAUUAGAUUACCCAACCAACGCAGGGUAUCCAAACUAUAAAGAACUUGUGUCUUUAUAGGCCCUGAUUUCUUCGGAAAUACAAAAAGGUGACUCACAAUAACUAAUCGAAUCGCAGAGACUUCGGUCGGCGAUGAUACAUACAAAUUUCUGCCCUAUCAACUGUCGAUGGUAGUAUAGAGGACUACCAUGGUUAUAACGGGUAACGGGGAAUUAGGGUUCGAUUCCGGAGAGGGGGCCUGAGAAAUGGCCACCACUUCCAAGGAAGGCAGCAGGCGCGCAAAUUACCCAAUCCUAAUUCAGGGAGGUAGUGACAAGAAAUACCAAUACAGGACCAAUGGUGCUGUGUUUGGAAUGAGUAUAAUUUAAAAACCUUAACGAGGAACCAUUGGAGGGCAAGUCUGGUGCCAGCAGCCGCGGUAAUUCCAGCUCCAAUAGUGUAUACUAAAGUUGCUGCAGUUAAAAAGCUCGUAGUUGGAUUUCGGUUAAUGAAAAGUUAGUCCACUUAAUAUAUAAGUGCGUACUGACGUUUUAUUUCCUUCUUUUCAGAUAUACAACUUGUUGUGUUCUGAAUCUUUUACUUUGAGAAAAUUAGAGUGUUCAAAGCAGGCGUAACCAAGCCUUUGAAUAUAUUAGCAUGGGAUAAUGGAAUAAGACUUUUUGCCUUAUUUUCGUUGGUUCUUGAGGCUAAAGUAAUGAUUAAUAGGGAUAGUUGGGGUCAUUAGUAUUUAAUUGUCAGAGGUGAAAUUCUAAGAUUUAUUAAAGACUAACUACUGCGAAAGCAUUUGACAAGGAUGUUUUCAUUAAUCAAGAACGAAAGUUGGGGGAUCGAAGAUGAUCAGAUACCGUCGUAGUCUCAACCAUAAACUAUGCCGACCAAGGAUUCGGGGGUGUUAUAUGAAUGACCCUCCGGGCACUUAUAGAGAAAUCAUAAGUAUUUGGGUUCCGGGGGGAGUAUGGUCGCAAGGCUGAAACUUAAAGGAAUUGACGGAAGGGCACCACCAGGAGUGGAAUAUGCGGUUUAAUUUGACUCAACACGGGAAAACUUACCAGGUCCAGACACAGUGAGGAUUGACCAAAAAAGAA
rnacentral:rRNA from 1 species